rnacentral:rRNA from 1 species
CCCCUACGGGAGGCAGCAGCGGGGAAUAUUGCACAAUGGGCGCAAGCCUGAUGCAGCGACGCCGCGUGGGGGUGAAGGCCUUCGGGUUGUAAACUCCUUUCGCCCGGGACGAAGCCCACCUGGUGGGUGACGGUACCGAGCGAGGAAGCCACGGCUAACUACGUGCCAGCAGCCGCGGUAAUGGGG